ACAACGGCUCUUUUGAGAGCCAUCCACAAAACCUUUAGAGCUUGUU
rfam:Oryzias latipes DNA, chromosome24, strain: Hd-rR.